rnacentral:rRNA from 1 species
GCCCUGGCAGUCAGAGGCGAUGAAGGACGUGCUAAUCUGCGAUAAGCGUCGGUAAGGUGAUAUGAACCGUUAUAACCGGCGAUUUCCGAAUGGGGAAACCCAGUGUGAUUCGUCACACUAUCAUUAACUGAAUCCAUAGGUUAAUGAGGCGAACCGGGGGAACUGAAACAUCUAAGUACCCCGAGGAAAAGAAAUCAACCGAGAUUCCCCCAGUAGCGGCGAGCGAACGGGGAGGAGCCCAGAGCCUGAAUCAGUGUGUGUGUUAGUGGAAGCGUCUGGAAAGGCGCGCGAUACAGGGUGACAGCCCCGUACACAAAAAUGCACAUGCUGUGAGCUCGAUGAGUAGGGCGGGACACGUGGUAUCCUGUCUGAAUAUGGGGGGACCAUCCUCCAAGGCUAAAUACUCCUGACUGACCGAUAGUGAACCAGUACCGUGAGGGAAAGGCGAAAAGAACCCCGGCGAGGGGAGUGAAAAAGAACCUGAAACCGUGUACGUACAAGCAGUGGGAGCACAGAGCAAUCUGUGUGACUGCGUACCUUUUGUAUAAUGGGUCAGCGACUUAUAUUCUGUAGCAAGGUUAACCGAAUAGGGGAGCCGAAGGGAAACCGAGUCUUAACUGGGCGUUAAGUUGCAGGGUAUAGACCCGAAACCCGGUGAUCUAGCCAUGGGCAGGUUGAAGGUUGGGUAACACUAACUGGAGGACCGAACCGACUAAUGUUGAAAAAUUAGCGGAUGACUUGUGGCUGGGGGUGAAAGGCCAAUCAAACCGGGAGAUAGCUGGUUCUCCCCGAAAGCUAUUUAGGUAGCGCCUCGUGAAUUCAUCUCCGGGGGUAGAGCACUGUUUCGGCAAGGGGGUCAUCCCGACUUACCAACCCGAUGCAAACUGCGAAUACCGGAGAAUGUUAUCACGGGAGACACACGGCGGGUGCUAACGUCCGUCGUGAAGAGGGAAACAACCCAGACCGCCAGCUAAGGUCCCAAAGUCAUGGUUAAGUGGGAAACGAUGUGGGAAGGCCCAGACAGCCAGGAUGUUGGCUUAGAAGCAGCCAUCAUUUAAAGAAAGCGUAAUAGCUCACUGGUCGAGUCGGCCUGCGCGGAAGAUGUAACGGGGCUAAACCAUGCACCGAAGCUGCGGCAGCGACACUAUGUGUUGUUGGGUAGGGGAGCGUUCUGUAAGCCUGUGAAGGUGUGCUGUGAGGCAUGCUGGAGGUAUCAGAAGUGCGAAUGCUGACAUAAGUAACGAUAAAGCGGGUGAAAAGCCCGCUCGCCGGAAGACCAAGGGUUCCUGUCCAACGUUAAUCGGGGCAGGGUGAGUCGACCCCUAAGGCGAGGCCGAAAGGCGUAGUCGAUGGGAAACAGGUUAAUAUUCCUGUACUUGGUGUUACUGCGAAGGGGGGACGGAGAAGGCUAUGUUGGCCGGGCGACGGUUGUCCCGGUUUAAGCGUGUAGGCUGGUUUUCCAGGCAAAUCCGGAAAAUCAAGGCUGAGGCGUGAUGACGAGGCACUACGGUGCUGAAGCAACAAAUGCCCUGCUUCCAGGAAAAGCCUCUAAGCAUCAGGUAACAUCAAAUCGUACCCCAAACCGACACAGGUGGUCAGGUAGAGAAUACCAAGGCGCUUGAGAGAACUCGGGUGAAGGAACUAGGCAAAAUGGUGCCGUAACUUCGGGAGAAGGCACGCUGAUAUGUAGGUGAAGCGACUUGCUCGUGGAGCUGAAAUCAGUCGAAGAUACCAGCUGGCUGCAACUGUUUAUUAAAAACACAGCACUGUGCAAACACGAAAGUGGACG